rnacentral:misc_RNA from 1 species
GUGAAUCUUCAAAGUCGGCUCCUCGUACUGUGCUGGUGGAGACACAUGUGCACGUCGGCGAGUCGCAAACCCACACACCUGUGCAUCUAUGACUCUGAGCGCCGCCUUGCAUGGCCUUGACCGGCCUGGCGUUCGAGUACUUUCACACACUCUGGAAUGUAACGGAAUGUCUUGUUGUGCGAUAAUGUACAAAAGAAA